GUCUACGGCCAUAUCCAGCAUAAAGCAUGAUUACCCGUCCGAUCAAUAAUUAUUAAGCUGCUGAGAGCGAUGCUGAGUACGUUAGUGGGAGACCAUAAUGGAAACCAUCGUGCUGUAGACU
rfam:Hyphopichia burtonii NRRL Y-1933 unplaced genomic scaffold HYPBTscaffold_2, whole genome shotgun sequence.